rnacentral:rRNA from 1 species
GUACACUCCUGCGGGAGGCAGCAGUGGGGAAUUUUGGACAAUGGGCGCAAGCCUGAUCCAGCCAUGCCGCGUGCGGGAAGAAGGCCUUCGGGUUGUAAACCGCUUUUGUCAGGGAAGAAAAGGUUCUGGCUAAUACCUGGGACUCAUGACGGUACCUGAAGAAUAAGCACCGGCUAACUACGUGCCAGCAGCCGCGGUAAUACGUAGGGUGCAAGCGUUAAUCGGAAUUACUGGGCGUAAAGCGUGCGCAGGCGGUUAUGCAAGACAGAGGUGAAAUCCCCGGGCUCAACCUGGGAACUGCCUUUGUGACUGCAUGGCUAGAGUACGGUAGAGGGGGAUGGAAUUCCGCGUGUAGCAGUGAAAUGCGUAGAUAUGCGGAGGAACACCGAUGGCGAAGGCAAUCCCCUGGACCUGUACUGACGCUCAUGCACGAAAGCGUGGGGAGCAAACAGGAUUAGAAACCCGGGUAGUCCCAUGA